rnacentral:rRNA from 1 species
UACGGAGGGUGCAAGCGUUGUCCGGAAUCACUGGGUGUAAAGGGUGUGUAGGCGGGGCAGUAAGUCAGUGGUGAAAGCCUGCGGCUCAACCGUAGAAUUGCCGUUGAUACUACUGCUCUUGAGUCCUGGAGAGGUCGCUGGAAUUCGUGGUGUAGCGGUGAAAUGCGUAGAUAUCACGAGGAACACCAGAGGUGUAGACGGGUGACUGGACAGGUACUGACGCUGAGGCACGAAAGCGUGGGGAGCAAACAGG